rnacentral:rRNA from 1 species
UGCCCUGUGACAAUGUUUAACGGCCGCGGUAUUUUGACCGUGCGAAGGUAGCGUAAUCACUUGUCUUUUAAAUGAAGACCUGUAUGAAAGGCAUCACGAGAGUUUAACUGUCUCUAUUUUCUAAUCAAUGAAAUUGAUCUUCCCGUGCAGAAGCGGGAAUAUUAUCAUUAGACGAGAAGACCCUAUGGAGCUUCAAACACUUAAGCUAAUUUAUGUAAAAUAUUAAUUCCCAUGGGUAUAAACAUUUAUACUAUAUUUCUAACUUAACUGUUUUCGGUUGGGGUGACCAAGGAGGAAAAAAAAGCCUCCUUAUCGACUGAGUAUUUAAUACUUAAAAAAUAGAAUAACAAUUCUAAUUAAUAAAACAUUUAUCGAAAAAUGACCCAGAAUAUAUCUGAUCAAUGAACCAAGUUACCCUAGGGAUAACAGCGCAAUCCUUUCCCAGAGUCCCUAUCGCCGAAAGGGUUUACGACCUCGAUGUUGGAUCAGGACAUCCUAAU